GAUGAACGCUGGCGGCGUGCCUAAUACAUGCAAGUCGAGCGAACGGACGAGAAGCUUGCUUCUCUGAUGUUAGCGGCGGACGGGUGAGUAACACGUGGAUAACCUACCUAUAAGACUGGGAUAACUUCGGGAAACCGUAGCUAAUACCGGAUAAUAUUUUGAACCGCAUGGUUCAAAAGUGAAAGACGGUCUUGCUGUCACUUAUAGAUGGAUCCGCGCUGCAUUAGCUAGUUGGUAAGGUAACGGCUUACCAAGGCAACGAUGCAUAGCCGACCUGAGAGGGUGAUCGGCCACACUGGAACUGAGACACGGUCCAGACUCCUACGGGAGGCAGCAGUAGGGAAUCUUCCGCAAUGGGCGAAAGCCUGACGGAGCAACGCCGAGUGAGUGAUGAAGGUCUUCGGAUCGUAAAACUCUGUUAUUAGGGAAGAACAUAUGUGUAAGUAACUGUGCACAUCUUGACGGUACCUAAUCAGAAAGCCACGGCUAACUACGUG
rnacentral:rRNA from 1 species